GGGGAAGUAAGGGGCUACUUCUCGCCAGCUGAGAGUUGAGACAGCAAAAACAACAUAUCUACUCAGUGAUGCAGUUUGACAGAAUGUGGCGAGCCACCAACAUCUUCAGUGCCACAGCAGUCCCCUCUACGUAACACUGCUGGAUUUAACAGCAAUUUGCCAGAAGUCAUCCUGUCAAUCAAAUGGCACAUAACGGGAGCUCCAUCAUUUUCUCUUCUGUUCAAUUGCUCCAUUAAAGUUAAGUUGAUGCAAAAGGUUA